CUGACUGGGUACACCUACUGUCCUCAGGUUGGCGCAGUCCUGAAACGGACGCACGAUUCUAAGCUUUUCAACUUUUCAGAUGGACAUAGCAUAUGCAGGGCACACAAUGGCAUAUUACUAAGUGCGAACGCGUACACGACGAGAUGCACAUCAACAUUGCUCGGUGAUACCCGCAUAGCCUGGAUCAACCAGUUUGAGGUUAGAUCAAACAAUGGGAUUGCUUUUACAACCGGAACACCGGCCGACCCUCUUUCCACUCGUUUUGUGGACGUCCCAAUAUACGUCACUUGCGAAAUACCUUGCCAACGUACGGCUGGAGACAGAAUAACUAGUAUUUCAGAGAACGGUACUGUCACAUGUGAACGUGGUUAUGAAUACCUCCAUACACAACCAGUGUGCAGUAAUGCAACUACGCAAAUCCAUAACUGCACCACUAUAACCUGCAAUGUUACCGCUAUUGGCAAUGGCUCUGCUAGCAGUGCUAUCAUCCAAUAUCUAGAUACUGCUUCCUACUCGUGCAACGAUGGUUUUUCCCUUGUGAGCAAUGGCAAGUCA